CCCACUGCUAGUUGCAUGCCUGUAGCCAGACUGUAUUUCUUUGCCUCAGGGGCUGUUUUUUCGUGUGUGUGUGUGUGUGUGUGUGUGUGUGUGUGUGUGUUUUGCCAAACAGAAAGCAGAAGCAGCUGAGCUCAUUGCAUGAGGAUACCGUGGGUCCAGGAGGGAGGCCAGGCCAGAGGACUGACCGUGGGUUAGCGGAGUUCAAGGGCAUCCCAGAGGCUGGAAAGAGAAAAGGGUGGCAGCCCCGUGCGGAGGCGGGCCUCACGCCCCGUGAUGUGACGGUGUCAGUGAGGCAGGAGAGUUAGAUGCUCAGAGAACGUUGGACCGUCAGAAAAGGGAAACUGAGACAGUUGGUUAGACAAAUGGGGCCAAACAAGUCAAACAAUUGACAGCCAGUUAGGGAAUCUCAAGACCUUAUCUUCCCUAAACCAAGGACACUUGAGAGCAAAUAAUUUGCGCUUCCCCUCCCUCCCCUCCCCUCCACCCACCCCCGACCACAGCGUAAACAGCCUAAAUCACCCCGUCAGGGACAUAGAUAACAGAGACCUAAUUAGUACCAUUUUGUGGCAGCCACGUCCAUGGACUGAUAAAGACAGGGGGGAAAUAACAAAACAAAACAAAGAAUGAGAACAAAACAAAUUCAAGAUACAGGCAGAGCUGACCAGAAAAUGACCCUGGUCCCUCUAUGCGCACAUUUUGGUACAUCAACAUAUAAUUUAAAAGCACACUUGAAAAACUGAUGAAUAAUCUGCUGAGGUGACACCCCCCCCCCCCCCCCACCGCAGUGUUCCUGCCCAAAAAAGAGAGAAAAGCCUUAAAACAAAGGGUGUCCUGUGGGCUUUCUCAGGAGCAUGCCCACACCUUUUCUGUCUCCUAAAUGCUAAGGGUCCCCAGGAGACCAGGGGAGCAACGGGCAGUGGUAGCUUGGCCCUGGGCUAACGCCCUGAACCUGUCUCCCAGGCCCCUUUUCUCAGAUACACUGAGAUGACAGCAG